rnacentral:rRNA from 1 species
AGAGUUUGAUCCUGGCUCAGAUUGAACGCUGGCGGCAGGCCUAACACAUGCAAGUCGAACGGUAACAGGAAGCAGCUUGCUGCUUCGCUGACGAGUGGCGGACGGGUGAGUAAUGUCUGGGAAACUGCCUGAUGGAGGGGGAUAACUACUGGAGACGGUAGCUAAUACCGCAUAACGUCGCAAGACCAAAGAGGGGGACCUUCGGGCCUCUUGCCAUCGGAUGUGCCCAGAUGGGAUUAGCUAGUAGGUGGGGUAACGGCUCACCUAGGCGACGAUCCCUAGCUGGUCUGAGAGGAUGACCAGCCACACUGGAACUGAGACACGGUCCAGACUCCUACGGGAGGCAGCAGUGGGGAAUAUUGCACAAUGGGCGCAAGCCUGAUGCAGCCAUGCCGCGUGUAUGAAGAUGGCCUUCGGGUUGUAAAGUACUUUCAGCGGGGAGGAAGGGAGUAAAGUUAAU